CUUUUCCUAAUAGAGUGAUUUAAGCCUUCAUUUUUAGACAUCUAAGCCCUUGGUGAUCAUCAGCAUAAAAUGUGACAAAUUAAACAAAAGCAAGACAGCACAUCAGAGAACAACUCUGAGGUGGAAUGAUUGGGAACCAAUGAAUAGUUGUUCAGUAAAUGGUUUAUAUUUUACAGAUGAUGAAACUGAAACACAAAAAAUUUAGAUUAACUCUUAGGUGACAAAGCCAGGAUUGAAGCUCAUGCGGUCUGGCUCCAGAACAACUCUUCUUCAUAGUUACGUUAUACUGCCCCUGCAUUGUUGGUAUUGAAAAUAACUGAUACCGUGCUUCCAGAAGAUUUUUCUAACAGUGUUUGCAAGCUAUAAAAUAGUGCUUUCACUUAGAAAAGGCAUGAGCCACCACUUCCAGCAAGGGAUUACUUUUUUAAUCUCUUUUUCAGAUUUUUCACUGUUGGCAUAUAGAAAUCCUACUAAUUUUUGUAUGUUGAUUUUGUAUCCUGGAACUUUACUGAAUCUGUUUAUAAUUUGUGUAUUUGUUUAUAGUAGUUUUUUGGUGGACUCUUUCAGUUUUUCCAAAUAUAAGAUCAUAUCAUUGGCAAACAAGGACAGUUUGAUUUCUUCUAUUCCAAUUUGGAUGCCUUUAUUUCUUUCUGUUGUCUGAUUGCUCUAGUUAGGACUUCCAGUACUAUGUUGAAUAACAGUGAUGAAAGUGGGCAUCCUUGCCAUGUUCCAGAUCUUAGAAAAGAGGCUUUCAGUUUUUCACCAUUCAGUUUGAUACUAGCUGUGGCAG
rnacentral:lncRNA from 1 species